rnacentral:lncRNA from 1 species
AAAAUGGAAAACAUAAUAAAAAUCAUAUGGUUUAACACAAACCUGGUGCUUUAUAGUUAGGGAAACUAAGAACUUCUAUUAUAAGGAACUUCUAGGGCACUCAGUAAAAUGGUAAUGACAUCGAGGUUUUUUAUCCAGCAUAUGCAGUCUCCUCAUAAUUGCAAGAAAUUUAACCACUUGUAUUAUACUUCCAGUUGGAGUAUUUUGAGGGAAACAAAACUUGGUUUAGUUUUUAUGAUUCUCUUCUCUUUCUCUUUUUCUAAACUUCAUAAUCAAUCUUUCUUGAACAUGCCUCCAAUAAACAAAUUAUCUAUUUUCAGUAAAGCCACAUUAGAUGUCAAGACUUCUCCAAUAGCCAGUCACAAAUGUCCUUUUGUAGUAGCUGGUAAUUUAAUUCACCCUUUUAUAGUCAAGUCAAAAGCUUAUAUUUGACAUGCAAGGGUUAUUAAUCUGGUAGUUUCUGACAUGGACCACUCACUAACGAGAAUUGCAAAUCAAUGACUUUAGGACUGAAUUCACUAUUGCAGGUAUAUUUUUCUUUGGUUACACAGAGUUUUAAAAAAUUGAAUUCAGAUGUCUUUAUGAAGGACAAAAUCACCAGCAUGUCAAUCUCUAUACUCCCCACUCCUUGUUCGCCUUGUUUGUGUGACAGUUGAUGUUCAGUUUCCAUUAUGAUUAUGGAGCUGAAACCCGCACACUUAUUGCUUUGUGGUUAUUUUUACUUUUGGGGAAAGAGGCAUGGGUGUUUUCUUCCACCAGAAAUAAACUUGGGAGAAAGAAAUGGAAACAGUUAUUAGAUGAAAAAUGCAACUGACACUUCAUAGACAAAGUCUUUGCACUUAAUGGUUUGAAGACCUUCGAAAACAUUAGAAAUAUUUCUUACUCUAUACAUCACACUCUGAAACAUUUCAUAUCACUACUUUAGUAAACAGGAAGUUGAACAAUAUCUAGUAAUGUAAUUGAAUGGGCUAUUUAAAAAUUGUAGUUGUGCAUAAAGCUGAUAUUUUUAAACGGUUGAUAGUAGAAAUUCCAGAAAAAGCACUAUUAAAACAUAUGAUUGAAUAUCAUAAAUUAAUAUUUCUUAUUAUGACUUUACAUAAUCACAGAUACUGAAGUAAUAUUUUAUUUUAUGUUUAGUAAUGUUUUAUAAAAAUAUUGCAUUGCAUUUUCCACUCACGCCAUAGCAAAC